rnacentral:rRNA from 1 species
GACAGAGGGUGCAAACGUUGUUCGGAAUUACUGGGCGUAAAGCGCGUGUAGGCGGCCCUGCAAGUCGGGUGUGAAAUCCCACGGCUCAACCGUGGAAGUGCACUCGAAACUGCAGGGCUAGAGUCCUGGAGAGGAAGGUGGAAUGCUUGGUGUAGAGGUGAAAUUCGUAGAUAUCAAGCGGAACACCGGUGGCGAAGGCGGCCUUCUGGACAGUAGCUGACACUGAGGCGCGACAGCGUGGGGAGCAAACAGG